CAGCAGCCGCGGGAAUACGGAGGGUGCAAGCGUUAAUCGGAAUUACUGGGCGUAAAGCGCACGCAGGCGGUCUGACAAGUCAGAUGUGAAAUCCCCGGGCUUAACCUGGGAACUGCAUUUGAAACUGUCAGGCUGGAGUCUUGUAGAGGGGGGUGGAAUUCCAGGUGUAGCGGUGAAAUGCGUAGAGAUCUGGAGGAAUACCGGUGGCGAAGGCGGCCCCCUGGACAAAGACUGACGCUCAGGCGCGAAAGCGUGGGGAGCAAACAGGAUUAGAUACCCCUGUAGUCCCUGUCUCUUAUAC
rnacentral:rRNA from 1 species